rnacentral:rRNA from 1 species
AACGAACGCUGGCGGCAUGCCUAACACAUGCAAGUCGAACGAGACCUUCGGGUCUAGUGGCGCACGGGUGCGUAACGCGUGGGAACCUGCCCUUAGGUUCGGAAUAACUCCCCGAAAGGGGUGCUAAUACCGGAUAAUGUCUUCGGACCAAAGAUUUAUCGCCUUUGGAUGGGCCCGCGUUGGAUUAGCUAGUUGGUAGGGUAAAAGCCUACCAAGGCGACGAUCCAUAGCUGGGUUGAGAGGAUGAUCAGCCACACUGGGACUGAGACACGGCCCAGACUCCUACGGGAGGCAGCAGUGGGGAAUAUUGGACAAUGGGCGAAAGCCUGAUCCAGCAAGGCCGCGUGAGUGAUGAAGGCCUUAGGGUUGUAAAGCUCUUUUACCCGGGAUGAUAAUGACAGUACCGGGAGAAUAAGCUCCGGCUAACUCCGUG